rnacentral:rRNA from 1 species
UACGUAGGGGGCAAGCGUUAAUCGGAAUUACUGGGCGUAAAGCGUGCGCAGGCGGUUAUGUAAGACAGAUGUGAAAUGCCCGGGCUUAACCUGGGAACUGCAUUUGUGACUGCAUGGCUAGAGUUUGGCAGAGGGGGGUAGAAUUCCACGUGUAGCAGUGAAAUGCGUAGAUAUGUGGAGGAACACCGAUGGCGAAGGCAGCCCCCUGGGUCAAGACUGACGCUCAUGCACGAAAGCGUGGGGAGCAAACAGG